GAUGAACGCUGGCGGCGUGCUUAACACAUGCAAGUCGAACGAUGAAGCCCAGCUUGCUGGGUGGAUUAGUGGCGAACGGGUGAGUAACACGUGAGUAACCUGCCCUUAACUCUGGGAUAAGCCUGGGAAACUGGGUCUAAUAUCGGACAGGAGCGUACACCGCAUGGUGGGUGUUGGAAAGAUUGAUCGGUUUUGGAUGGACUCGCGGCCUAUCAGCUUGUUGGUGAGGUAAUGGCUCACCAAGGCGACGACGGGUAGCCGGCCUGAGAGGGUGACCGGCCACACUGGGACUGAGACACGGCCCAGACUCCUACGGGAAGCAGCAGUGGGGAAUAUUGCACAAUGGGCGCAAGCCUGAUGCAGCGACGCCGCGUGAGGGAUGACGGACUUCGGGUUGUAAACCUCUUUCAGUAGGGAAGAAGCGAAAGUGACGGUACCUGCAGAAGAAGCACCGGCUAACUACGUG
rnacentral:rRNA from 1 species